rnacentral:rRNA from 1 species
AUUGAACGCUGGCGGCAGGCCUAACACAUGCAAGUCGAACGAGUGGCGGACGGGUGAGUAAUAUAUGGGAAAAUGCCUGAUGGAGGGGGAUAACUACUGGAAACGGUGGCUAAUACCGCAUAACAUAGGAUGUGCCCAAAGUGGAUUAGCUAGUAGGUGGGGUAAAGGCUCACCUAGGCGACGAUCCCUAGCUGGUCUGAGAGGAUGACCAGCCACACUGGGACUGAGACACGGUCCAGACUCCUACGGGAGGCAGCAGUGGGGAAUAUUGCACAAUGGGCGCAAGCCUGAUGCAGCCAUGCCGCGUGUAUGAAGAAGGCCUUCGGGUUGUAAAGUACUUUCAGCUGGGAGGCGUUACCCGCAGAAUAAGCACCGGCUAACUCCGUGCCAGCAGCCGCGGUAAUUC